rnacentral:rRNA from 1 species
UAGGGAAUCUUCCACAAUGGACGCAAGUCUGAUGGAGCAACGCCGCGUGAGUGAAGAAGGUCUUCGGAUCGUAAAGCUCUGUUGUUGGUGAAGAAGGAUAGAGGCAGUAACUGGUCUUUAUUUGACGGUAAUCAACAAGAAAGUCACGGCUAACUACGUGCCAGCAGCCGCGGUAAUACGUAGGUGGCAAGCGUUGUCCGGAUUUAUUGGGCGUAAAGCGAGCGCAGGCGGAAUGAUAAGUCUGAUGUGAAAGCCCACGGCUCAACCGUGGAACUGCAU